rnacentral:rRNA from 1 species
AUGAACGCUGGCGGCGUGCCUAAUACAUGCAAGUCGAGCGAACAGAUCAGGAGCUUGCUCCUUUGACGUUAGCGGCGGACGGGUGAGUAACACGUGGGUAACCUACCUAUAAGACUGGGAUAACUUCGGGAAACCGGAGCUAAUACCGGAUAACAUUUGGAACCGCAUGGUUCUAAAGUGAAAGAUGGUUUUGCUAUCACUUAUAGAUGGACCCGCGCCGUAUUAGCUAGUUGGUAAGGUAACGGCUUACCAAGGCAACGAUACGUAGCCGACCUGAGAGGGUGAUCGGCCACACUGGAACUGAGACACGGUCCAGACUCCUACGGGAGGCAGCAGUAGGGAAUCUUCCGCAAUGGGCGAAAGCCUGACGGAGCAACGCCGCGUGAGUGAUGAAGGGUUUCGGCUCGUAAAACGCUGUUAUUAGGGAAGAACAAAUGUGUAAGUAACUGUGCACGUCUUGACGGUACCUAAUCAGAAAGCCACGGCUAACUACGU